AAAAUGGUUGUGAAUUAGAGGAGUAGCUUUUAUCGUGUUUUUAGAGAGCUAGUGGUCGCUGUGAACUAGUAACACAAUUAGUGAAAUGGACUAAUGGACAUUUUUGUAAGGAAACAAUAACUUUCAGGUCUAGCACUCCUUAUCGUGCUACUUCUUAAUUUGAGAAGAUAGAGAUGGUAUUUUUAGAAUAUCAACUGAGGUGGUACCGCGACUAAUAACGCCCUCACG
rnacentral:ncRNA from 1 species